GACGGAGGAUGCAAGUGUUAUCCGGAAUCACUGGGCGUAAAGCGUCUGUAGGUGGUUUAAUAAGUCAACUGUUAAAUCUUGAGGCUCAACCUCAAAAUCGCAGUCGAAACUAUUAGGCUAGAGUAUAGUAGGGGUAAAGGGAAUUUCCAGUGGAGCGGUGAAAUGCGUAGAGAUUGGAAAGAACACCGAUGGCGAAGGCACUUUACUGGGCUAUUACUGACACUGAGAGACGAAAGCUAGGGGAGCAAAUGGG
rnacentral:rRNA from 1 species